AGCGCAGACGGUUAUUUAAGCAAGAUGUGAAAGCCCCGGGCUCAACCUGGGAACUGCGUUUUGAACUGGGUAACUAGAGUGUGUCAGAGGGGGGUAGAAUUCCACGUGUAGCAGUGAAAUGCGUAGAGAUGUGGAGGAAUACCGAUGGCGAAGGCAGCCCCCUAGGAUAACACUGACGUUCAUGCUCGAAAGCGUGGGUAAGCAAACA
rnacentral:rRNA from 1 species